AACAGAGCAUGAAAUACAAAAAUAUAAAAUAUUCAAGAUCGCAUAACAUAUAAAACAAGUUAAUAACAAUAAAUGUUCAACUUGUUAAAAAAAUAAAAACAAAAUAUUCAACAAUAAUUUGAAAUUAAGGAAACAAAGCAUCUAAAAAAUUAAUAUAAAGUCUAAACAUUUGAGUAACACUCUUCUUCAACAUUGAUAAUAUUUGGUGCUUCAACUUGAUCCAUGUCUUCUUGCUCAUCAUCUUCAUUCUUCACCAUCUAUUAAAAGAAAACAAUAUAAUUAAAGCAUAAUAUAGUUCGAUAAUUUGAAACACAAUAACAAAAAGGGAAUCUUACAUAAGUGUGUCCACAAUGUUUAUUUGAAACAAUGAAGCAAUGAAACAAGCCAUUAAUCAACAGCAAGCUAAAUCCUUAUAUGCAGAACAUAGUUUAACCAUACGAAAAAACUACCUUGUUUCACAGUAGAGCCUACCUCAAAAUUUUCAACAUUAACUAAACUUGCGAAUUGAAACUUUUGCAAAGGGUAAUUACAACAGAACAUCCGAACUUCAUGAGACUAUAUGAUCUUUUCCAAAUAUCAGUAGGCUAGUUAUCUUAACUUUACAAAACUCGCACUUUGCCACUUUGAGGUCUAUAUUUUUCAAGAUUUCAAACAGCAUUGGCUCAAAAACUAUAUGAACAAAAACUUAAAAAUUUAAAUUUAAAAUAAAUAAAAUGAAGCAACCAACAUUCAACAAGUUCAGGUGAGCGGCAGACGGCAGUUGCAGAAAAAANAAUAGUAAAUUACUAUAUUAAAAUGAAACUAAAAAUGCUUGAAAAAUUACUCACCGGAGUAGAUGGAGUGAGCGGCAAUUGCGGCGGACUAGAAGCAGCAGACGACGGCGAUAGCUGCUCAGUUCAGGUGGGAAGAGGCGCGGCGGUGGGAGAUGGAGAGGAGUCGAGGCGCGAUGGCGUGGCCCGCUGGGCUCAGGUGGGAAGCGGCGUGGUUCGGUGGUUGCCUGGUGGGAGACAGAUUGGGUUGGAUGCGCCGGAGAGGGGAGGCGCGACGCGGCGGCGUGGCUGGAGGUGGUGACUGGUGCGGUGUCGGAGGUAGAAGAAUGGAAGAGUGGAGGCGCGGCUGAACUGAGGUCUGAAGCAAUUCAAUUUCAAACCCUAAAAUUUUAGUAUUUUUAAUUUUUUUUUAAAUCGAGUAACCCGACGGGCUGGCCCGACAACCCGACGGGCUGGCCUGCUUCAACCCGCCAGCCCGAACGGGCUAGCCCGAUUAGCCCGAUUUGUUAUCGGGUUGUGAUUUUUCAGCCCUAACCCUCUAAUUUUGUCGGGUUAUUCGGGUCGGCCCACGGGUUUCGGGUUGGAUUGACAUCCCUA
rnacentral:lncRNA from 1 species